UUAAGUUAUUAAGGGCGCACGGUGGAUGCCUUGGCACUAGAAGCCGAUGAAGGACGUUACUAACGACGAUAUGCUUUGGGGAGCUGUAAGUAAGCUUUGAUCCAGAGAUUUCCGAAUGGGGAAACCCAGCAUGAGUUAUGUCAUGUUAUCGAUAUGUGAAUACAUAGCAUAUCAGAAGGCACACCCGGAGAACUGAAACAUCUUAGUACCCGGAGGAAGAGAAAGAAAAUUCGAUUCCCUUAGUAGCGGCGAGCGAAACGGGAAGAGCCCAAACCAACAAGCUUGCUUGUUGGGGUUGUAGGACACUCUAUACGGAGUUACAAAGGACGACAUUAGACGAAUCAUCUGGAAAGAUGAAUCAAAGAAGGUAAUAAUCCUGUAGUCGAAAAUGUUGUCUCUCUUGAGUGGAUCCUGAGUACGACGGAGCACGUGAAAUUCCGUCGGAAUCUGGGAGGACCAUCUCCUAAGGCUAAAUACUCUCUAGUGACCGAUAGUGAACCAGUACCGUGAGGGAAAGGUGAAAAGCACCCCGGAAGGGGAGUGAAAUAGAACCUGAAACCGUGUGCUUACAAGUAGUCAGAGCCCGUUAAUGGGUGAUGGCGUGCCUUUUGUAGAAUGAACCGGCGAGUUACGAUUUGAUGCAAGGUUAAGCAGUAAAUGUGGAGCCGUAGCGAAAGCGAGUCUGAAUAGGGCGUUUAGUAUUUGGUCGUAGACCCGAAACCAGGUGAUCUACCCUUGGUCAGGUUGAAGUUCAGGUAACACUGAAUGGAGGACCGAACCGACUUACGUUGAAAAGUGAGCGGAUGAACUGAGGGUAGCGGAGAAAUUCCAAUCGAACCUGGAGAUAGCUGGUUCUCUCCGAAAUAGCUUUAGGGCUAGCCUCAAGUGAUGAUUAUUGGAGGUAGAGCACUGUUUGGACGAGGGGCCCCUCUCGGGUUACCGAAUUCAGACAAACUCCGAAUGCCAAUUAAUUUAACUUGGGAGUCAGAACAUGGGUGAUAAGGUCCGUGUUCGAAAGGGAAACAGCCCAGACCACCAGCUAAGGUCCCAAAAUAUAUGUUAAGUGGAAAAGGAUGUGGCGUUGCCCAGACAACUAGGAUGUUGGCUUAGAAGCAGCCAUCAUUUAAAGAGUGCGUAAUAGCUCACUAGUCGAGUGACACUGCGCCGAAAAUGUACCGGGGCUAAACAUAUUACCGAAGCUGUGGAUUGUCCUUUGGACAAUGGUAGGAGAGCGUUCUAAGGGCGUUGAAGCAUGAUCGUAAGGACAUGUGGAGCGCUUAGAAGUGAGAAUGCCGGUGUGAGUAGCGAAAGACGGGUGAGAAUCCCGUCCACCGAUUGACUAAGGUUUCCAGAGGAAGGCUCGUCCGCUCUGGGUUAGUCGGGUCCUAAGCUGAGGCCGACAGGCGUAGGCGAUGGAUAACAGGUUGAUAUUCCUGUACCACCUAUAAUCGUUUUAAUCGAUGGGGGGACGCAGUAGGAUAGGCGAAGCGUGCGAUUGGAUUGCACGUCUAAGCAGUAAGGCUGAGUAUUAGGCAAAUCCGGUACUCGUUAAGGCUGAGCUGUGAUGGGGAGAAGACAUUGUGUCUUCGAGUCGUUGAUUUCACACUGCCGAGAAAAGCCUCUAGAUAGAAAAUAGGUGCCCGUACCGCAAACCGACACAGGUAGUCAAGAUGAGAAUUCUAAGGUGAGCGAGCGAACUCUCGUUAAGGAACUCGGCAAAAUGACCCCGUAACUUCGGGAGAAGGGGUGCUCUUUAGGGUUAACGCCCAGAAGAGCCGCAGUGAAUAGGCCCAAGCGACUGUUUAUCAAAAACACAGGUCUCUGCUAAACCGUAAGGUGAUGUAUAGGGGCUGACGCCUGCCCGGUGCUGGAAGGUUAAGAGGAGUGGUUAGCUUCUGCGAAGCUACGAAUCGAAGCCCCAGUAAACGGCGGCCGUAACUAUAACGGUCCUAAGGUAGCGAAAUUCCUUGUCGGGUAAGUUCCGACCCGCACGAAAGGCGUAACGAUUUGGGCACUGUCUCAACGAGAGACUCGGUGAAAUCAUAGUACCUGUGAAGAUGCGGGUUACCCGCGACAGGACGGAAAGACCCCGUGGAGCUUUACUGUAGCCUGAUAUUGAAAUUCGGCACAGCUUGUACAGGAUAGGUAGGAGCCUUUGAAACGUGAGCGCUAGCUUACGUGGAGGCGCUGGUGGGAUACUACCCUAGCUGUGUUGGCUUUCUAACCCGCACCACUUAUCGUGGUGGGAGACAGUGUCAGGCGGGCAGUUUGACUGGGGCGGUCGCCUCCUAAAAGGUAACGGAGGCGCUCAAAGGUUCCCUCAGAAUGGUUGGAAAUCAUUCAUAGAGUGUAAAGGCAUAAGGGAGCUUGACUGCGAGACCUACAAGUCGAGCAGGGUCGAAAGACGGACUUAGUGAUCCGGUGGUUCCGCAUGGAAGGGCCAUCGCUCAACGGAUAAAAGCUACCCCGGGGAUAACAGGCUUAUCUCCCCCAAGAGUUCACAUCGACGGGGAGGUUUGGCACCUCGAUGUCGGCUCAUCGCAUCCUGGGGCUGUAGUCGGUCCCAAGGGUUGGGCUGUUCGCCCAUUAAAGCGGUACGCGAGCUGGGUUCAGAACGUCGUGAGACAGUUCGGUCCCUAUCCGUCGUGGGCGUAGGAAAUUUGAGAGGAGCUGUCCUUAGUACGAGAGGACCGGGAUGGACAUACCUCUGGUGUACCAGUUGUCGUGCCAACGGCAUAGCUGGGUAGCUAUGUGUGGACGGGAUAAGUGCUGAAAGCAUCUAAGCAUGAAGCCCCCCUCAAGAUGAGAUUUCCCAACUUCGGUUAUAAGAUCCCUCAAAGAUGAUGAGGUUAAUAGGUUCGAGGUGGAAGCAUGGUGACAUGUGGAGCUGACGAAUACUAAUCGAUCGAAGACUUAAUCAA
rnacentral:rRNA from 1 species